AAGAUUAGAAAUCUGCUGCACGGGAGAGGACUCAAGAUGGUGCUGUGAGAACAACCCAGGAUUGGAGCUCGCAUUGAAUCUGCAAACGUUGCCUAGGAGAAAGCAACCAUGAUGGGCAUGGAAUGAUUGUGCAAGUUCACAGAAGAGAGGAUUUCAGACAGGGUAUAAGACAUGACCAAAUCAUGAUACUGCUUGACCUCUACUCCAGACUCCUCUCACCAGAUGUCUUGAAUUUGGAGAAAAUUAAUUACGAAUUACAUUUAGAACAUGUUGGUUGAAGAUACCUGAUGUUGAAAAUCAGAGUAAAAGGUGUAACCCUCAGAAUAAUUCUGUGAGGUCAUCAGAGAUCAGAGUUUACAAAGAAAACUAAUGAGCUAAAUACCAAGAUGACUAUCUCUACUCUAUAAAAGAAUGGACACAGGAUGGCUUUCAUGCUUGGCUGGUUAGUUGAAAGAGAAGUUGCAACAGAUAACAAGAAAAUGGAUUAAAACAAUUUAUUAAGUAUUUAAAUUUCAAAAAUAAAAGGUGUAGAAUGUGGAAAGAAAGA